GAUGAACGCUGGCGGCGUGCCUAAUACAUGCAAGUCGAGCGAACAGACGAGGAGCUUGCUCCUCUGACGUUAGCGGCGGACGGGUGAGUAACACGUGGAUAACCUACCUAUAAGACUGGGAUAACUUCGGGAAACCGGAGCUAAUACCGGAUAAUAUAUUGAACCGCAUGGUUCAAUAGUGAAAGACGGUUUUGCUGUCACUUAUAGAUGGAUCCGCGCCGCAUUAGCUAGUUGGUAAGGUAACGGCUUACCAAGGCGACGAUGCGUAGCCGACCUGAGAGGGUGAUCGGCCACACUGGAACUGAGACACGGUCCAGACUCCUACGGGAGGCAGCAGUAGGGAAUCUUCCGCAAUGGGCGAAAGCAUGACGGAACAACGCCGCGUGAGUGAUGAAGGUCUUCGGAUCGUAAAACUCUGUUAUUAGGGAAGAACAAAUGUGUAAGUAACUAUGCACGUCUUGACGGUACCUAAUCAGAAAGCCACGGCUAACUACGUG
rnacentral:rRNA from 1 species